GAUGAACGCUGGCGGCGUGCCUAAUACAUGCAAGUCGAGCGAACAGACGAGGAGCUUGCUCCUCUGACGUUAGCGGCGGACGGGUGAGUAACACGUGGAUAACCUACCUAUAAGACUGGGAUAACUUCGGGAAACCGGAGCUAAUACCGGAUAAUAUAUUGAACCGCAUGGUUCAAUAGUGAAAGACGGUUUUGCUGUCACUUAUAGAUGGAUCCGCGCCGCAUUAGCUAGUUGGUAAGGUAACGGCUUACCAAGGCAACGAUGCGUAGCCGACCUGAGAGGGUGAUCGGCCACACUGGAACUGAGCCACGGUCCAGACUCCUACGGGAGGCAGCAGUAGGGAAUCUUCCGCAAUGGGCGAAAGCCUGACGGAGCAACGCCGCGUGAGUGAUGAAGGUCUUCGGAUCGUAAAACUCUGCUAUUAGGGAAGAACAAAUGUGUAAGUAACUAUGCACGUCUUGACGGUACCUAAUCAGAAAGCCACGGCUAACUACGUG
rnacentral:rRNA from 1 species